UAUUUUUCAUUGGGAAAACUUUUCAACAGAAAUGGAGUGUAAAAGUUUUUCUUUGCGAUAGAACUAAACACAUGAUUUCUUGAUUAACAAACCACUGCAGUAAUAGAAUAUGCAGAAUGUCAUUUGACUAUAACAGAUUUAUUUUGAUUGCUGUGAGAUAGUUUGUAUAUCUGAGUUAUUAUUUUGAUUAGUUGAUACUUCCGUAUUUAGUAACAGUUACAUAAAGGUUACUGACCUGACAUAUAUUCUCAAUUGAACUAACUACUGUAUAGGAA
rnacentral:lncRNA from 1 species